GGUCACUGCUAUUGGGAUUCGACUAAGCCAUGCGAGUCGAGAGGGUUCGGCCCUCGGCUGACGGCUCAGUAACACGUGGAUAAUCUGCCCUUAGGUGGAGGAUAACCUCGGGAAACUGAGAAUAAUACUCCAUAGGCCUAGGAUGCUGGAAUGCACCUAGGCUCAAAGUUCCGACGCCUAAGGAUGAGUCUGCGGACUAUCAGGUUGUAGUCAGGGUAAUGACCUGACUAGCCUACGACGGAUACGGGUUGUGAGAGCAAUAACCCGGAGAUGAUAUCUGAGACACGAUAUCAGGCCCUACGGGGCGCAGCAGGCGCGAAAACUUCACAAUGUGCGAAAGCACGAUGAGGGAAUCCCAAGUGCUUGUACGUAAGUGUAAGCUGUUUCUAUGUUUAAAACGCAUAGAGAGUAAGAGCUGGGUAAGACGGGUGCCAGCCGCCGCGGUAAUACCUGCAGCUCAAGUGGUGGCCGCUAUUAUUGGGCCUAAAACGUCCGUAGCCGGUUUAAUAAAUGCCCGGGUAAAUCGUGUAGCUUAACUAUACGAAUUCCGGGUAGACUGUCAAACUUGAGACCGGGAGAAGCUAGAGGUACUCCUGGGGUAAGGGUGAAAUCUUAUAAUCCUAGGGGGACCACCAGUGGCGAAGGCGUCUAACUAGAACGGGUCUGACGGUGAGGGACGAAGCCCUGGGGCGCAAACCGGAUUAGAUACCCGGGUAGUCCAGGGUGUAAACGCUGCUUGCUUGAUGUUAGUCUGGCUCCGGGCCAGAUUAGUGUCGGAGAGAAGUCGUUAAGCAAGCUGCCUGGGAAGUACGAUCGCAAGAUUGAAACUUAAAGGAAUUGGCGGGGGAGCACUGCAACGGGUGGAGCGUGCGGUUU
rnacentral:rRNA from 1 species